rnacentral:rRNA from 1 species
CCUACGUGAGGCAGCAGUGGGGAAUAUUGCGCAAUGGGCGAAAGCCUGAAGCAGCGACGCCGCGUGAGGGAUGACGGUCUUCUGAUCGUAAACCUCUGUCAGCAGGGAAGUACGGUCACUGUGCUAAUCAUCAGUGAAUUGACGGUACCUGCAAAGGUAGCACCGGCUAACUCCGUGCCAGCAGCCGCGGUAAUACGGAGGUUGCGUGCGUUAAUCGGAUUUACUGGGCGUAAAGCGCUCGUAGGCGGUAGGUCAAGUCAAGGGUGAAAUCCCCGGGCUCAACGUGGGAACUGCCUUUGAUACUGGCAAACUAGAGUGUAGUAGAGGUUAGUGGAAUGCAAGGUGUAGGAGUGAAAUCCGUAGAGAUC